rnacentral:rRNA from 1 species
ACAGGGAUUGCCCUAGUAACGGCGAGUGAAGCGGCAACAGCUCAAAUUUGAAAUCUGGCUCUUUUAGAGUCCGAGUUGUAAUUUGCAGAGGGCGCUUUGGCGUUGGCAGCGGUCCAAGUUCUUUGGAACAGGACGUCACAGAGGGUGAGAAUCCCGUACGUGGUCGCUAGCCUUCGCCGUGUAAAGCCCCUUCGACGAGUCGAGUUGUUUGGGAAUGCAGCUCUAAAUGGGAGGUAAAUUUCUUCUAAAGCUAAAUACUGGCCAGAGACCGAUAGCGCACAAGUAGAGUGAUCGAAAGAUGAAAAGCACUUUGGAAAGAGAGUCAAAUAGCACGUGAAAUUGUUGAAAGGGAAGCGCUUGCAGCCAGACUUGUUUGUAGUUGCUUACCUAGACUUUUGUCUGGGGCACUCUUCUGCAAACAGGCCAGCAUCAGUUUGGGCGGUUGGAUAAAGGUCUCUGUCAUGUACCUCUCUUCGGGGAGGCCUUAUAGGGGAGACGACAUACAACCAGCCUGGACUGAG